rnacentral:rRNA from 1 species
GACGAACGCUGGCGGCGUGCUUAACACAUGCAAGUCGAACGGAAAGGCCCUGCUUUUGUGGGGUGCUCGAGUGGCGAACGGGUGAGUAACACGUGAGUAACCUGCCCUUGACUUUGGGAUAACUUCAGGAAACUGGGGCUAAUACCGGAUAGGAGCUCCUGCUGCAUGGUGGGGGUUGGAAAGUUUCGGCGGUUGGGGAUGGACUCGCGGCUUAUCAGCUUGUUGGUGGGGUAGUGGCUUACCAAGGCUUUGACGGGUAGCCGGCCUGAGAGGGUGACCGGCCACAUUGGGACUGAGAUACGGCCCAGACUCCUACGGGAGGCAGCAGUGGGGAAUAGUGCACAAUGGGCGGAAGCCGGAUGCAGCAACGCCGCGUGCGGGAUGACGGCCUUCGGGUUGUAAACCGCUUUCGCCUGUGACGAAGCGUGAGUGACGGUAAUGGGUAAAGAAGCAACGGCUAACUACGUG